UCCAGUAAUAAAGCCCUCUCUGUGCUGACACAAAGAGUUAAACAGUAAGGCUCACUUUACACAUCCUCACCCACACACAGCUAGAGUCAAAUGGUAACUGGCAUUCACUGGAUGUGCUCUGACUUCUGGUUGAAAGCCCAAACUCCUUUCCUAUGAGCUCAGGUCGUUCUGACCUCAAGACUGUAAUAGGUGGCAAUCUUAUCCUACAGAUGAGAAACCUCAAGAAACAUUGAACUCAUUGGAAGCCAUUAAACAAGGAGCUGUAGAGAAUUCAACAGAGCCGCUAUCCCAUUCGUGGUUACUCAGCACAUAUCAAGGUGAGCGGAACUUGCUCUACGAUUCACAGUAGGCUAAGUGAAGCCCCUCAGGUACAACAUGACCUGUGUGUAGAUACAGCAAGAAACAUGCCUAGGCUGAAGAAGGAAGGAAACCUCAAACAAGAGCACGAUGGGGCUGGAGAGACACUCAGCAAUUAAGAGCAUGUAUUGCAGAAGACUCAAAUUUGAUCACCACAUCCACACAGUGCCUCCCAACCAUUUGUAAUCGCUGUUCCAGGAUCUUCACAGCAACACCAGAUGCAGUGUAAUUCACUAUACAUCCCAGACUGUCCUCAAACUUGAGGCUAUCCAACUUUAUCAGAGGAUGUGCAUCCUGAAUACUACAGUCACAAAUGUGUGCCUCCACACCUGACUUCCCCAAAGAAUACAAAGCUACCUUAUCUACUGUGCAACUAACCUGAAGGCCCAACACUCUCCUUAAGGGCCUUCGGACAAGGCUGGCUUGUCACUAGUGUCUGGGAACUUGGGCUUGGGGAGAUUAGUGACAAGCAGCCCACAGGACCUCACCUGUGCAGGGAACAUGGCUCAUACUGGGAGCCUGGUAUUUAGAGUGUGAUAGCGACUAUCAUGUGAUGGGCACUAAUAUAGUCUCUGAUGAGUCCUCCUGUCUGACUGGUGGCUUUGAAGCAUGCCAUCAGAGUAGCCAAUUAGGAGGUCCUCUGGCACUGUAGUCAGUCGGAGCAUGAACCCACCAGAGACCACAGAGUCUAGGGACUCCUAAGGUUCCCUCCACACAGAGGGUGACUAUCACAAAAGUCAGCAAAUCUCAAACAACUGUAUGCAUGGAGUGACAGCCCAGCCAUCACUGUGUUACCUUCUAUCUCGUUCCAUUCGGUUGUGCCUUUCCCGACGCUGAGACCUUCCUCCCUGGGGUCCACUCUGUGUCUGGUCUCCCAGAUUUGACUGUGAGGACUCUGAAGACUGCCAGGUGCCCUGUGAAGCUGAGGAGCUUUCGCCCACAUUCUGAAUCUCUCCAAGGGCUCUUCGCUCCACACUUGUGUCCAACUGGCGGAUUCUACUCCGAUUCCUCUUAUUGAUUGCUUGUUUACAUAGCGCUUCUUCUUUGCAAAAGAAGUAAAAAGUGGCCAUUUAGUUUUUUAUUCUUAACUUUAUCCCAAUUAAUGUUGAA